UAAUAAUAAAAGAUCAUUUGUAACUGAAAUAUGACAAAUUGCUGUUUUAAUCAUGAGGAUUACCAUUUAGAACAGCUAGAUGGAGUUUCGCUCAUGUUGCCUAGGCUAGAAUACAGUGGCACAAUCUCGGCUCACUGCAACCACCGCCUCCUGGGUUCAAACGAUUCUUCUGCCUCAGCCUCCCCAGUAGUUGGGAUUACAGGUAUGUGCCACCAUGCCCGGCUAAUUUUGUAUUUUUAGUAGAGAUGGAGUUUCUCCAUGUUGGUCAAGCUGGUCUUGAACUCCCGACCUCAGGUGAUCCACCCGCCUUGGCCUCCCAAAGUGCUGGGAUUACAGGCCUGAGCCACCGCGCCUGGCCUGUUUUCAUUUUAAGUGUAGUUGUCUAGCAUUUUCAAUACAUUCCCCCCCGUUUGACAAAUUUUAUCUUGCCAUUUAGCUAAUGGGCAAGCAAAAAAUUAAGUGGAAUAAUUGGACAGAACAAUUAUCUGGUAACCUAAACAAUGGUAACAUGAGAUAGGUAUUUUAUGCAUUGUUUGGACUUAUAAACUAUCUAGUGUUCUAAUAAUAGACAUAAUGGUUUAUUCAACUAAUAGCUACUGUCAUCCUUAGAGGUUAUUAACAACUCAAAGUAGUGAAUUACAUCCAACUAAAGGGUGCUUUUGUAUAGACAUUUGUUCUUAUUGCUGGUCACUUAUUCUUCAAAUAUCUUUUAGGCACCAUUUACAAAGAUGACCAGAGGUACAAAAUCUGCAUAUAUAAUAGAAAGAGCCAGGUAGUCAUUCAAUAAAAGAAGGUAUAUAGUACCAGGAAAAGAUUUUUAUCUU
rnacentral:lncRNA from 10 species